rnacentral:lncRNA from 1 species
AGGUGAAUAGUAUCAGCAUUUAAAGAUUUUAAGCAAACUAGCAGUGAACAUCUAGAUUUUGGGAGGCAGAAAGAUGGAUGAAGAGACAUAUGGUCAGACUAAUAUUUGAGAGAUUGCACCAUAGCUUACAAACGUUGUACCUAAACACAUUUAAGCUUAUACUUCCCUCUUAGGAAGUUACACUUCCUUCCUGGUUCUCUUAUUUGUGCUAGGAAUGGGGGAAACUACUUCAGCCUGAGGCUGUUUGGUAUGCUUACAUUUAUUCAAGGUUUUCCAUCUCGCUUUGGUGAUUAGCAGGACUGCGGUAUAGCACACCUUGCCCCAGGUUCUUUAACUUUCAAAUUUAUAUUUCUUUCAGAAUAUGUAUCUGUUAAAGUGAGAACACCUUUGUCCUAAGCUGUCAUGGUUUCUUCUUAGUUUGACAAAGCCCAACAUAACAGAUCCUAUUCUCAAUAAAAUGCCAUUCCUAUUGACUUCUGUGGCAACACACUUUUGUCAGAAAGAAAAAACAAAAAACAAAAAACAAAAAACAUUGUGGCUAGAAAGGCCAUUGUCAAAAUGACAGACUUUAUUUUCUGAAUUAAAUAUGUAAAUAUGAAGAGUGAAUUGAAAUAAAUGCAAAUGUCUAAAUAUAUCAAAAUGCAAAUUUAAGACAAAUGUCUUCUAUUAAACGGACUGUUCUUCAGUUAGAGGUGCAGACAGCUUUUAAUAGAUAAUGUAUUCAUUUUUGGCAAAUAUUUUUCCAUAUUCUGUAACUAAAGAAUAUGUUUUUAAAGGAAAACUAAACAGACACGAAUGGAAUGAAAAAUCUUUGUACUGAGAAAUGGCCAACUUAGUAUGCAAGCAACAACACUAUCUCACAUUCAUUUGAAUGCUUGCCAUCUGGAACAGAUGCAUUAGUUGUGGCUUUAGUAAUGACAUGGUGGAGGAGAAGACCUUCCUCACUUCAAGACUUCAGUAUUACUUAAUGGGGUUCCUCAUAUGCUGUGUGGAGUUCAUAGAAUUGCAAAUCUAAUAGAAGAAAUACUUGGCAUCCUCUUUCAAAAAUAAAAAUUCAGUCUAUUUGUAAUACUGAAAUGAA